GUGAGCGGUCUGUGGCCCUGGGCACCUCCAUCCGCCGCGGCGCCCCUCCACCAUCUACCUUCCGCCUGACUGGGGCUUGCCUUUCCGGGCUGGCGGGUGCCACUUCGGAUAAACCCUUUGGACUCCUAACUCCAAUCAGGUGUCUGCUUUGUUGAGGACUCACAGACACAGUCUCCUUUCUUCAAGAUCUUUACAAUGCAAGACCUCACUAACACACAGGGAUGGUCUCCCAGAGGGUCUGUGCUGUUCCUUCACUCAGAACAUCAAGAUGCACUGAAGUAAGGAUCCUCUAUUCUACAGUUCCUGCUAGCUGAGCUAUUCCAUGGGGGCUUCAGCAGGAAAUUCCAAGGUUGGCUUUGACAAGCUAAGGCCGGCUGGUGGAGCACAUCGAGUUCUGGAGGUUCAUGUGUGUUUUCAUGAAGAUCUGUCUGCCCGUAGCAGAUAAAGAGUUGUUGCCCCACUCCUCCUGGGGUCUUCUAUUUUCCUGGGAGGAAUUUCUGGAUUAACUGAACACACACACACACACACACACCCUUUUGAAGCAUCAACAGUAAUUCUGAGUUCUUAGGGACAAUGCAGAUUAAAUCCACAAUAAGAAAGACAACUAUGGCCAGGUGUGGUGGCUCACGCCUGUAAUCCCAGAACUUUGGGAGGCUGAGGCGGAUGGAUCACCUGAGGUCAGGAGUUAGAGACCAACCUGACCAACAUGGAGAAACCCCGUUUCUACUAAAAAUGCAAAAUUAGCCGGGCAUGGUGGCAGGCGCCUGUAAUCCCAAAUACUCGGGAGGCUGAGGCAGGAGAAUCACUUAAACCCGGGAGGCAGAGGUUGCAGUGAGCCAAGAUCGCGCCAUUGCACUCCAGCCUGGGCAAGAAGAGCAAAACUCCAUCUCAAAAAAAAAAAAAGAGUACUAUUGAUCCAGAGGUGACCAGACUAGCCUCACUGGAGAUAAUAGGUGACAUUAUUAUGCAAAGUGGUUUCAGUUCCCUUGUCUUGUUUUUGGAAUAGUAUAAGAGGCCUACAAUACGAAUAAAUAAGGCCCAUCACAAGCCUCACCAAAGGACAAAACUAAUCCACUUCUGAAGAAGGCUCUUUGUUGGGCCAGAUCAAAUCCUUGGACAGAACUGUACUCUUAAUCUCUGUAGUGAAAGUGGGGGGUAGUUUAAGAAUUUAUUAACCUUCUACCUUGAGCAAUCCCUCAGAAGUAAGAGGUGUCAGGCCUCUGAGCCGAAGCUCAGCCAUUGUAACCCCUGUGACCUGCACAUAUAUGUCCAGAUGGCCUGCAGGAGCCAAGAAGUCUGGGGCAGCUGAAAAACCACACAAGAAGUAAAACAGCCAGUUCCUGCCUUAACUGAUUAACCAACAUUACAACAUUCCACCAUUGUGACCUGUCCCUGUCCUACCUUAACUGAUCAAUCGACCUUGUGACAGUCUUCUUCUGGACAAUGGGUCUUAUCAUCUCCCCACCAUGUACCUUGUGACCCCCUCCUCUGCUAACAAUAGAUAACCACUUUUUACUGUAAUUUUCCAUUACCUACCCAACUCCUAUAAAGCAACCCCUUCCCCAUCUCCCUUCACUGACUCUGUUUUCAGACUCAGCCCACUUGCACUCAAGUGAAUAAACAGCCUUGUUGCUCACACAAAGCCUGUUGGUGGUCUCUUCACACAGAUGUGCUUGACAAAAGGGAAGGGUGGAUUUGUCCUUCUGGUUACAUAGAGUCCCUGAGUACUCUUCCCCCAGUGGUGACAACUGUAGUAUAAUAUCAAUUCUGGGA
rnacentral:lncRNA from 10 species